UCCCGAGUCUGCUGAAUCGAAAAAGGCAUGUAUGUCUAUACUAAUCCAUACGUAUAUUGAUUAUCCAUUGAAAACCGAUAGACCCAGUUCUCAUUAUUAAAGCAUUAAGCAAACAAAGGCAGGCAAGUAAAGUAGCAUUAUAAGGUUUCAAAGUAAAGUAGCAUUCAUAAGGUUUCACCAACUCCAAUUCUGAGAUCCGAUGAAGAAUUCAAGUUCGAAGAAUGAUGAUUGGGAGCAAAAGAGAGAAAAAGAGGAGGACGGGAAGUAUUUGUGUGAUAAGAAGUAUGAGGAGAUGAAGGAAAGGGAAGAGACUUCAAAGGCAGAGGCAAAGGAUAGCGAAGGCAUUUUAAAGAGGGAAUUGAAGGAUAGAGAGGAGAUGUCAAAGGCAUUUCAAGCUAUUGCUCAAGUUAGAGACGAGGUUGAUAAGCUCGCAGAAAGGGUGUCUGCCUUAGAAGUGGCUGUGAAUUGUGGGACCAAGGUCGCGAAUGAGGAAUUUGUUGUGCCAUCAGAGUUACUGAUGAGGCAAUUGCUGAAAUUGGAUACUAUUGAGGCUGAAGGAGAAGCAAAGAUGCAGCGAAAGGCUGAGGUACGUCGUAUCCAGAACUUCCAUGAGGUGCUGGACGACUUAAAAUCAAGUAAUUCAAAGCCAUUUGGCAAUAACAGUGAUGCUGUGUCAGUGAGAACUGAAUGGCUAUCCAUUGACUCCAGUGUAGAAAGCUCGAGUCCACCCCCAAUCUCACCCUCAACCUGAAUCACUUAGGAUUGGGAAAGGUUUGAUUAGAUAGGGCAUAGGCUUCUUUUCCCAGAGCAGCAGCGUCUCCAACCUUUUGCUAUUCUUCAGUCAUCCACAAGGGCAUCAACAAUCAAUACGUUCUAAUCUAUGACAAAACCUGUUCCUUCCAAUUUACAGAGGGCAUUAUGCAAAAGAGGACAUCCAAGAAGGUAAAUACGAGGACAAUUAAGUGUUGAAAACCGCAAGGGAGAACUCUACCUUGUUGGUAAAAGGAUCUCCGACUUCGAAACUUGUUCAGCUCAUCUAAAGAAUACCGACUCUAGCUGGUGUAAAUAAGCGAGUAUUUUGGUGGGAAGUUUUUCUGAUUUUCCUUAA